rnacentral:rRNA from 1 species
GGCGAACGCUGGCGGCGUGCUUAACACAUGCAAGUCGAACGGAAAGGCCCUGCUUUUGUGGGGUGCUCGAGUGGCGAACGGGUGAGUAACACGUGAGUAACCUGCCCUUGACUUUGGGAUAACUUCAGGAAACUGGGGCUAAUACCGGAUAGGAGCUCCUGCUGCAUGGUGGGGGUUGGAAAGUUUCGGCGGUUGGGGAUGGACUCGCGGCUUAUCAGCUUGUUGGUGGGGUAGUGGCUUACCAAGGCUUUGACGGGUAGCCGGCCUGAGAGGGUGACCGGCCACAUUGGGACUGAGAUACGGCCCAGACUCCUACGGGAGGCAGCAGUGGGGAAUAUUGCACAAUGGGCGGAAGCCUGAUGCAGCAACGCCGCGUGCGGGAUGACGGCCUUCGGGGUGUAAACCGCUUUCGCCUGUGACGAAGCGUGAGUGACGGUAAUGGGUAAAGAAGCACCGGCUAACUACGUG